rnacentral:rRNA from 1 species
AGAUUGAACGCUGGCGGCAUGCCUAACACAUGCAAGUCGAACGGGAGUAGCAAUACUCUAGUGGCGGACGGGUGAGGAAUACGUAGGAAUUUGCCCUUAAGUGGGGGAUAACCCGGGGAAACCCGGAUUAAUACCGCAUGACCUCGAAAGAGCAAAGUGGGGGAUCGCAAGACCUCACGCUUUUGGAGAAGCCUACGUCGGAUUAGCUAGUUGGUGAGGUAAUGGCUCACCAAGGCGACGAUCCGUAACUGGUCUGAGAGGAUGAUCAGUCACACCGGAACUGAGACACGGUCCGGACUCCGUACGGGAGGCAGCAGGUGGGGAA